rnacentral:rRNA from 1 species
UACAGAGGUCCCAAGCGUUGUUCGGAUUCACUGGGCGUAAAGGGUGCGUAGGUGGUCAGGUAAGUCUGAUGUGAAAUCUCUGGGCUCAACCCAGAAACUGCAUUGGAUACUAUCUGGCUAGAGGAGUGGAGGGGGGACUGGAAUACUUGGUGUAGCAGUGAAAUGCGUAGAUAUCGUAAGGAAGACCAGUGGCGAAGGCGGGUCUCUGGACAGUUCCUGACGCUGAGGCACGAAGGUCAGGGGAGCAAACGGG